UGAUUGGUCUCUAUGGGAAUAAAAGUUGUUCCUUUUUGUACGAUAUCUUAUGGUUUGUUCUCUUGUAUGAAGUAUUAAGAGAUGUCAUUAGACUAUGUUGUAAAUUGUGCAUUAACCAUUGACAAGGCUGUCAGUCAACUUUUGGGAACCAAUAGUUUUUUUUUAUCGGCCAAAAGGGCAAGUUUUGUCUGCUGAUGGCGAUAAUCUCAAAAUGGCCAAAUAUUGGCCAAUCAACUGGGCCGAGCUGAAAUGCUUUGGUCUAUAACUAGAUAUUUCCAUAAUUCUUGUCCUAUAAGCUUUAGUUUAAGAUUUGAAUCAAAUCUCCAAACCAUUCACACGUACAACAUACAAUUAUUGAGCACUUCAGUAGGAACACUAUGAUCCUAAUAAAGUUGUAUCCCAUCCGCCUCAAGGUUCGAUGUGUUGUGCAUUCUGAGAUGCUAUUCUGCUCACUACAAUUGUACAGAGUGUUUAUCCUAGUUGCCAUGGUCUUUUUGUCAGCUAGAACCAGUCUGGCCACACGAUUGGCAGAUUAGAUAUGAAUAAGCAUUAAUAAGUAGGUGUAUAGGUGUUCCUAUAUAAUAACACAUUUAAACAAAGAGUUAAGUUAAAUAAAAACCACCAUCCUCCCACGCUAGACUUUUAAUAACAGAUUUGUACAGGGUGCAUCUGUAAUAAAUAGUUAACAACGCAAGACAGAACCUCUGCCCUCUGACAAUAAACACUCAAAUCUUGUGUCCCAUCUCAGGCCUCACCCUCCUGCCUGUGCCAAGCUUCGGCCUGCCAAUGGAAAUCAAAAAGGUGCCAAACUGAUGCAGAGAUCAGAUAUUGACGAGGAUAGUGUUUUUGUCCCCUGGGUAUUCGUUACAAACGAGCUUCAACGCCUUAGGAAGCCAAAUGCCAGUCCAAUAUCCUGUUUCUCCAUUCUGGUGCUUGACUUUGGCUGCUGCCCCAUUGGAAAUGGAUUACACUAACCCUGUGUGUGCUGCCAUUGGUGUGUUAGAGGAAGACUCCAAAAAGAAUAAGCAAUGGUUGGGUAUUUCUUCUUGCGUGCAGCACGGCUAGCAACUGUAUGCCAGUUCCACACGGUGCUCUAUUUAUAGCUGGGUUCUCUUUUCAUUUGAAAUAGCCAUAUGCUGUUAGGUCUUUGUCAGAUAAGAUAAGCAGCCUUUAGCUCGCAAAACCUCAGACGCGGACUGCGCCUAAAACAGCAAACAGAACAAUGCAAAAAUGGGGCUAGACCUGGAAAAGACAACAGGGAAGGAGACUCAUGAAACUGCAAGCUAGGCAUGCAUUUGAGUGCAGUCAUCAUAGCCCAGGGACAUUACACAUGCAUCAUCCAUCUAACAGAACAUAAAAUAAUUCAAGUUCACAAGCAGAUGAAAAGUUUCUGGGCUAUGACAUCACUGCUGUCUACCAGAGGCCUUUGAGAAGAGGGCCAAUUCUGCUAUAAUACGACGGGACAGCCCAGAAUCGGAGCAGGACUUGAGUAAGACGGUCUGGACUAAAGUGGGGGAAGGGUUGACUGACUGCCUGCCCGCUUCAGACCGCAGUGGACCAGUUCCCAGCAAUAACACCAGCAGACAUCCAUGCAGCUUUGGUAACACUUUCAAUACAGUGUCCAUGUCACAUAUUACUAGUUAUAGGAGCUUUAGCUACAUGUUAAGUACAUGUAGUUCACGUGUAACAAGAAUAAUAAGGUAAAAUGUGGUCAAAGUUUACAUUAAUGGUGGGAAUAAGUGAAUCUGGUCUGGGAACACAGCAGAAGAGUUAAAGAAAUAUGCGCGCAGCCCCAACAGCAACACAAGCAAUAUUCACUAACUAAUGCAUUGAGUUCUUCAUCUUCAGUCAUCGUCACCAAGCACUUAGAUUAUUAUACUUCAUCGAUGAAACUGUUUAAAUACAACGAGGCUUAUGUAAAAGGCGUUUCUGACCAACACGUCGCAUUUUGGGGGGGGCUGAAUUAAUAAUUUAAUACGCCACAGCCAAAUUUGAGGGGUGUGCAAAUGAAACACUGACAGAUAACGGUAACAUAAUACACUAACUGAACCUGACAAUGUACAAAACCUUCAGAUGAACCGCUAAUUUGCACCCGUUUGAUAUGUGCGCGCAGCUCGCGCUCAUAAUAAUAAAAGCAUAAAGAGUUCCAUUUGAUACAUUUCGAUGCGGAGAGAGUGGAAUGGAACGUUAGAAUCUGGAACUGCUACUCUGUAACCAGGUUCAGUAGAAAACGGUCGCACAUUCAAACGUUCCAUUUGCUUCGAAAAUGUUUCGCAUUUGCAAACGGUUCAGACAAAUCACAUCAAA